AUUCCAGCUCCAAUAGCGUAUAUUAAAGUUGUUGCAGUUAAAACGCUCGUAGUCGGAUUUCGGGGCGGGCCGACCGGUCUGCCGAUGGGUAUGCACUGGCCGGCGCGUCCUUCCACCCGGAGACCGCGCCUACUCUUAACUGAGCGGGCGCGGGAGACGGGUCUUUUACUUUGAAAAAAUCAGAGUGUUUCAAGCAGGCAGUCGCUCUUGCAUGGAUUAGCAUGGGAUAAUGAAAUAGGACCUUGGUGCUAUUUUGUUGGUUUCGAGCACCGAAGUAAUGAUUAACAGGGACAGUUGGGGGUAUUCAUAUUUACAUGUCAGAGGUGAAAUUCUUGGAUUUUGGAAAGAUGAACUACUGCGAAGGCAUUUACCAAGGAUGUUUUCAUCG
rnacentral:rRNA from 1 species